rnacentral:rRNA from 1 species
UACGUAGGGAGCAAGCGUUGUCCGGAAUCAUUGGGCGUAAAGCGCGCGUAGGUGGCUCUAUAAGUCCGUUGUGAAAGUCAAAGGCUCAACCUUUGAAAGCCGAUGGAUACUGUAGAGCUAGAGUCCGGAAGAGGCGAGUGGAAUUCCUGGUGUAGCGGUGGAAUGCGCAGAUAUCAGGAGGAACACCGGUGGCGAAGGCGGGUCUCUGAGCAGUAACUGACGCUGAGGAGCGAAAGCGUGGGGAGCGAACAGG